rnacentral:tRNA from 1 species
CAAAGCAUAGCUUAACCAAAAGCAUCCGGCCUACACCCGGAAGAUCUCAAGAACAUUUGACUGCUUUGA